rnacentral:lncRNA from 10 species
AGAGACAGCGGGGUGGGGUGGGAGCAGUCGCUGCUGUGAACUCGCUGGAGCCCAGACUCACGCAACUAAGGGGCAGCAGUGGGAAGAGAAACGGAGGGGUGGUGGGGGAGCUGGCGCUCUGAACGCCUGUUCCUUCUGUUCAGACUAGUCUUUGUUUAUUUUGCAGCGCAGGAAGGCGGAAGGGAAGGCGGAGACCGGCAAGAGAGGGGAGAAGGCCCGGGGAAGACGCUCGGGACCAAGAUGCGGGGCCCGGGUGCGAGCAGCUGAACCUCUCGGCCCCCAGGCGUGGUGACCUGGGUGGCGACGCUCGUGGAGGCCGAGGAGCUUCUGGACCGGCGCUUCGGGGGACCAAGUGGAGAGGCUGCUGGAGUUGUCGCCUGAGUCCUCCCUUAGUUCUUCGCGCCGGCCUCGCCCACGGCUCCGGGUCCCAGCCGCCACUGCAGUCUCCGCAGCACCGAGCGGGGCUCCACCGACUCGCGACCUCCAGCCUCCGCCUCAAGGGCAGGGAGCGCGGCUGGGUCUCUGGAAAGCCAUUUUUAAAUCACUGCCUCUGCUGCCCCCAUGUGAGGUCGGAGUGUCCUCCCCCGUCUUUGCUUUCAGGUUCUUUCAGGUUCCUUUGGGCAAACCCGCAGCUAAGAGUCCAGCUUGUGAACUUGAACCUGAACUUGCUGAAGAAGCUCCCGGCGGCCCCCUGCUGUCUGCGGCCUUUGUUUGAGGGAGAGGCUGGGGUCACCCGGUUGGGCCGCAUUUCCGGGGCCGUCACCUGUCGGGCUGCCAGGCCGCGCGUACCUUGUCCCAUCGGGGGCUCUGCUCUGCCCCCUGCGCUGAUGACGCGGGUGGAAGGGAGGUAUCAGGGGCACUCUGGGGAGCUGUACCUGGCGGGCACCCCCCAGCUGCUCUCCGUGGGGUACGACACCGAGACCUGGUUGGGCUGCAAGGAGACCGACUGGGAUUCCCGGGCUGGUGGCCGGGGAGACGAAGGCGGGGGGUGAGAGGCAGGAACCCAGGAGGCCCCAGGCCCAGCGCUGUGGGGCUGCUGUUGUCGUUCUGCGUGGAGGUCUGGCCAAACUGGCUUUUGCCCCGAGUGAGGAAUUCCUGCUCUUUUUUGGUUUUGGUAAGAGGUCGCUAUUCACAGAGGGGGCGGGGUUCGUCCCCUCCAGGCGAGUACGGGGCUGGCGGGCGCAGUGCUGCCUUUCUGCUCUGUCUCUUGAUCCCGCUUAGGAUCUUUGUGGCUCCUCUGAGUCUUCUUAGAGAGGCCGUGAAAGAUGGGAAAGGCAGGUUGCUGAAACGCUGCUGCUCGGGGCUGGCAGAGACCCUGGUAUAGGGAAGGCGCACCACUGUGGGUCAGAUCAGCUGACAGUGGGGGUUUUAGGUGAUGGGGUAACCUUACAGUUCGGAUCUCUUAGAACCCAGAAGCAGGUAGGCGAUCGCUGCUUCAUCACACUUCACAGGGAGUCCUGGAUCUUUCCUGUCCGUAACCCAUGGACGCCAUGAUUCAGUAUGGCGGAGGUCCGGGGCUUAAGUUCCUGUUCAUGCUUCCUAAUCAUUCAUGGAUCCAUCACAAUGUGCUCUGAAGGGCCUCUCUUGCUGGGAUUGAGAAGGAUACAUUUUUUGAGCAGGUUUUUAUACUCAAUGGACAUGUAGAAGGGAAUAUAUUCUACUCAGUUCCCCUCCUGCAGCUCCUUGAAAUUCUGUCCAUCAAAAGCAGGGAUCUGCUGACCAGAGGUGACUGCCACAGAAGGUAUCCAGUUUGUAAAAGCUGAAUUUGUUGCUGAAGCCAGAAUUUGCAAUCUUGAUGUUUGUGUUAACAUCCAAGAGCGUGUUUUCUGCCUUUAAAUCUCUGUGGACAAUACGUUUCUGGUGACAGCUUGCACAGCAGACACUUUUGGUAGAAUUUGCUUCAGUCCUUUUUUUUUCUUUCCUGCUGCCAUGAGCAGGUAUUCACAAACUUCUCCUCCUGGCUAGUGUGCUUCAUGACAAAGCAAAGAGAUUCCUCAAUAUCGAUCACAGCAAAUGUUUCACUAUGUUGGGGUGAUCCGAGCCUUCAUGGUUCCUACUUUGUGGAUGGUGUCUGGAGGAGAUCUGCUGAGUCUCAUCAAUGAACUUCACAGCUGCUGCUUUCCCAGUUAAGAGGUCCCAGGCCAACCUUACCUUAGCCAGGUUGCCCUUGACGAUGGUCUCAAGGAUCCUAGCUGCCAGUAAGGGUCCCUUCUCAGCAGAGAUGGCUGAGAGGCCCUGUGGCAUGUGAGACUUACUGCUGGGCUUGGAGUCAAGGUGUCCCAGGUCAGCUUAAUUUCGGGAAAAACUGGUAAGACGCUUGGUUCAAAUCACUUGAAAAGAAAAUCACUUGCAUAGUUCACCUGAAGAAUGGAUCUCUAUAAUGGAAUUAAAGCACAAUGCUGGACAAAAAGUAAGAAAAAGCAACAAACUGAAAGGAAAAAUUGAGUAAAAAGAAUAAAGAACUAGAACUGGCAACCUCAGCCAAGCCAGGGAAUUACAUACAUCUUGGAAUUCCAAAGCAAUGCUUCCUUAUGAGGGCAUAGGAAGAAAUAAAUCUAAUAACAAGGCUGGGAUUAAUUCACGUGGUUUUCUCACAUUUUGGUCUCAAGAACUUUUUACUCUAAAACUAAUUAUUGAGGACCCCAAAGAGCUUUUUAUGUGGGUUAUAGUUAUCAGUAUUUACUUUAUUGGAAAUUAAAACCUGUAGGAUGUUUCAGUGGUCUUUUCUAGUUUGAAGGGUUUAAUAAUUUUUGGCUUUUAAAGAGCCCAUAAUCAAUUAAAAUAUUUUAUUUUCCUUUAAAUUGUAAAUGAUUGGUGUCAUAAUGAUGCUACAACUUAACUGGCAUUACAAUACUAUACAAAUACGUUCUAUUGUAUAAGUCACAAUAAGGUACAUUAUUAACUCUAUAACAUUUAGGGGAAGAUAGCUGUUAUCAUAUUAUUUAAAGUUUUGCCUAGUUUCUUUGUAGUAGACUUAUCUUUUCCAGGAGCCAGAGAACCCGCUAUAUCAGUUUCAGUAUCUUUAAAUGUAGAGAUUGCAGCUGUGUGUUGAGAAAGCACGUUUCACUUAGCAUGGGAUGGGGACUUCGAGGUACUGGAUAUGUCACUGGCACCUCAGGGGAGGAAACCAAGAUGCCCCUAUAUGAUUUUAAACAUGGUUUAUUAAAGCGUGAUACAGAAAAGUGCACAAAUUGUCCACCUACAGCUUGGUGACUGUUCACAAAUUGAACUCAUCUAACUAGCCUCCAGAAUAAGAAACAGGCCUUUACACACCCCCACCAGCCUCCCAAUCCCCUUUUCAGUCACCUUCUCUGCAGUGAUAACCACUAUUCUAUAUUCUGACAGCAUAGUUUCACUUGUUUUUUAACUUCACAUAAAUGGGAUCAGACAGUAUUGAAUCCUUUGUGUCUGCUUCCUUCACUCAAUAUUUUCCUGAGAUUUUUCUAUAUUGUUUAUUCUAAAUGCCCAUUGUACGACUGUAACACAAUUUGUUUAUCCAUUUUACUGUUCUUGGGCAUUUGGGUAGUUCUCACUGUGGAUGCUAAGAAGAGUGUUGCUAUAAACAUUCAGGUCUUUUGGUAAGCAUAUACCUGGCUUUCUGUUGGCUAUUUAUACCUAGAAAUAGAGUUGCUGGCUUAUAAGGUAUGCAUAUUUUUAGUUUUAGUAGACAUUGCAGUUUGUACCAAUUCACCCACCCACCAAUGUGAAUAUCUAAUAUUGCCUGCCUGUCUGUACGUGUGUACUGGUAUAGCAUUGUGGUUUUAAUUUGCAUUUUCCAGUGCCUAAUGAAAUAAAGCACCUUUUAAUAUGCU